ensembl:snRNA U6 U6 spliceosomal RNA
GUGCUUGCUUCAGCAGCACAUGUACUAAAACUGGAAUGUUGCAAAGAAGAUUAGCAUGGCCCCUGCACAAGGA